AAUUCAUGAGCAGCAGCAGCAGCUGCAGCAGCUGCUGCAGGGGGGAGGGCUGCUGCAGCAGCAGCAGCAGCAGCAGCAGCAGCUGCAGCUGCAGCUGCAGGAGCUGCA
rnacentral:ncRNA from 11 species